rnacentral:rRNA from 1 species
GGUUAAGCGACUAAGCGUACACGGUGGAUGCCCUGGCAGUCAGAGGCGAUGAAGGACGUGCUAAUCUGCGAUAAGCGUCGGUAAGGUGAUAUGAACCGUUAUAACCGGCGAUUUCCGAAUGGGGAAACCCAGUGUGUUUCGACACACUAUCAUUAACUGAAUCCAUAGGUUAAUGAGGCGAACCGGGGGAACUGAAACAUCUAAGUACCCCGAGGAAAAGAAAUCAACCGAGAUUCCCCCAGUAGCGGCGAGCGAACGGGGAGGAGCCCAGAGCCUGAAUCAGUGUGUGUGUUAGUGGAAGCGUCUGGAAAGGCGCGCGAUACAGGGUGACAGCCCCGUACACAAAAAU